GCAGGGCAGUCACCUCUCGGAGAUAGAGCCCCUCUGCAGAGCCCCUCGCCCUCUCAUCCACACUCAGACCAAGGGGCCUUCCGCCUGCCCCGUCCCGGCCAUGAGCCCCUGCCUCCUGGGCUGUGUGGUCUUCUGUCUCCUGCAGGCAGGGGCGGUCCAUGCUGGGGUCACUCAGGACCCCAGAUUCCAGGUCGUGAGGAGAGGACAGAACGCGACACUGACAUGUACUCAGGAUCUGGGUCAUAACUACAUGUGCUGGUACCGACAAGACCCAGGACACGGGCUGAGGCUGAUUUAUUACUCAGUUGGGCCUCCCAGCACGGAGAAAGGAGACGUUUCCGACGGGUACGGUGUCUCCAGAUCAAGCAAAGAGAAUUUUCCUCUCACACUGGAGUCUGCCAACCACUCCCAAACAUCUGUGUACUUCUGUGCCAGCAGUUACUCCACGGCGCUGCAUGGCCACCUGCUCCCUGUGCAAAAAGACAGGGUCCCACGUGCAGGCUCCUAG